rnacentral:rRNA from 1 species
UACGGAGGGUGCAAGCGUUAUCCGGAUUCACUGGGUUUAAAGGGUGCGUAGGCGGAUAGGUAAGUCCGUGGUGAAAUCCUGCAGCUUAACUGCAGAACUGCCAUGGAUACUAUUUAUCUUGAAUGUCGUGGAGGUUAGCAGAAUAUGUCAUGUAGCGGUGAAAUGCUUAGAUAUGACAUAGAACACCAAUUGGCGAAGGCAGUUAACUAUUCGGUUCCUGACGUUGAGGCACGAAAGCGUGGGGAGCAAGACGG